UCCCUCCUCCCCGCCCGGUGGUUGGGGCGCGGGGCUGAGGCGAGGCCGUGCCGUAGCAACCGGGCGGUCUCCGGGUUCACAGGCGCACUGAGGGCGGGCGGGCGGUGGCGCGGCCGGAGGCAGGGUUUAAGAAGAAAGCAAAGAGGAGCUGCCAAUCAAGAGAUCUGUCAUGACUGCCAGUACAUCUAAGAGAAUUGCCUGGAGUGACUAUGUCUUUGAUUCAAAGCACAGGCAAGAUCUUGAAGAUUCCCAUGAGGCCCACAGGAAAGAAUCAAAAGAGAAGGAAAGAAGACUGGCAGUCAGUCAGUGGAGCACAGAUGUACAAUCCCUUGUUUCAUCUUCUGAAUGGCUUCAACGUUAUGGUCUCAAAAGAAACAAAUUGUCCCUCUCCCAGAUUUUGUCACAGAUUGGAUUCCAGCAUAGGAAAGAUUAUGUGACCACCUUGGGGAAACCUGUGGCUUCUCGGUAUGCAGAUGGUCUGUUUCCUCAGUACAAGAGAGCACAAGAUGGCAGUGUGUAUAAUCUGACAGCCAAAAAAGAACUGAUUCUUCAUUUUGUGGAUUGUCUAAUGGGAGCUAUUGAGCUGUAUAAGCAGCGAAUGGAAUGGUUAACCAGUGAGAGCCGGCAGAUAUUUGGAGUGAUUCAAGAACGGUGCAUUGUCAUUGUUUUGGAUUUUGGCACUGCAGCUCCAGCUGAAUUUGAUCUAUGUCGGGAUGCACUUUCUAUGGUACUUGUGGAACAGGUGAUCCAAAUUGCCAGAUUCAACCUCAUUCGGGCUGCACAGGAUCUUAUGAAGUGGCAACAGAAACCUACUCCUGUGUCUGACCAUACUGUAAAGGCUGCUGUUACGUGGCUCUGGAAGCUGGACCAUAUGACAGCUGUCAGCCAUACCAACUCUGCUGAAGCCCUGCUGGAAGCCAUGGGUGAUGAGGCGGUUGAAGCCGUUUAUUACUUUGCUGUGGGUGAUGUUCCAGUGGACACAAAACAGCUACUCCUUGAGAAGGUUUCUGAUGGCCCCUGUCCAAUCAACACUGUGUCUUUCAAUGCUAGGGAAGAUGAAACUAUUAUUUUUCUGAAGGAGCUGAGCCGCUUGGCCUCUGGCAGAUUCCAUGCUUUUGCUGAGAAGAAAGACUAUAGACAAGCUGCUGGAGCUGCAUUAAAAUAUGAAGAGGAUGGAAAAGGUCUAAUUGCCCUGAACUCCGGAAAACUGAAAGGGCGAAUGCCACUAGGUAGACAAUCUAAAACACAAGAUUAUAAUGAUAUUUUCAUAGCUGGUGUCCGUGAAGAUGUCUUUUUGAUCUGGAAGGAGUUGGAGGAAGCCAGGAAUACAGUGAGACAAGUUCAGAAAAUUUUAUCAGAAUCUGACCAGCCUGCUUCUCAAGAUGCAACCAAAACUGAUCAUCCAUUACAAAAUCAUGUAUAUGACAAAUAUUUGACUUCUGAGAAGUGGUUGCAGAAAUAUGGCUUGAAAGCUCAGAAGCUCACACUGUACGAUGCACUUGCUGAUUGUAUUUUCCGCCACGUAGAUGGGAUUGUUGACAUAAAAACUAAACCAGAGGAUGAAUCUUCACAAACUGAUGCUGAGACAAAGAGGAAGGUAAUUCAUGCAAGAUACUGUGACAGGUUUGUACACACCCUCUGGAAAGAUGGAUCUGUAGUUCACAUAUAUGUUAGUACAGAAAAGUAUAAGCAGUACGAAGAGAAAAUGAGGACAGCUCUCAGACAAGUGGAAAGAAGGAUUAAGUGGCUUCAACAAGGAAGCAGAGGGCUCUUUGGUAAUGUGUUUGAAGAUAAUGUCUAUAUUCUCAUUGAUACAUCCCAGUCUAUGAACAACAAGCUGCCACUGGUGAAGGAAAAAAUAUUUCAGCUCAUACAGGAACAACUGAGACACAAGAAGAGAUUUAACUUUGUGAAAUUUAGUGCCCAAGCAGUGGCAUGGCAAGAAAAACUUGCUGAAGUUAAUGAGGAAAAUUUGCAAGAUGCUUGGCUUUGGAUAAAACAGCUUGAGGUUGGGAGUUCCACAAAUACACUCAAAGCUCUCCAGAUUGCUCUUGCUGAUACUGACACUCAGGCUAUUUAUCUCUUGACGGAUGGGAGACCUGACCAGCCCUCCCAAAUAAUUUUUGCUGAGGUCCAUCUUCAUUGUAAAAUUCCCAUCCAUACUGUAUCAUUCAACUGUGAUGAUAUAGAAGCUAAUAAAUUUUUGUAUGAACUAUCUACUAAAACAGAGGGACGGUUUCAUUAUUACAACAUUUAUUUGACUGAUCCUGAUACUGCAGAGUUUAUUCUUAAUAAAGACAUACAUCUUUUGAAACGAGAAAUUGAUCAAGGAGAAAAAGAUCUAGGGAAAGUAAAGACCUUUCAUGUCAAAAGCCUGAUGAUGGAUUCUUUUAAUGAAGAAAAUUAUCCAGAGAAUAACAGUAGGUUGUUCUGUGCUUCAGAAGAGCCAGGACGGACACCACACCAGCAAACCUGGCAAACGACUGCUGACAGUCCAGCCCGAAGAAAGAAAGUAUUAUAUGCAGAGCAAACAAAGAGCAGCCUGCUGCGAAUCCUGAGCCAUGGUGUGAAAUCUAGGGAAGAAAGCCCAGAGGAAAGAACAUCUCCAGAGGAAAAAAGUUUUUCUGUCAAGAAGAGUGUGAAAUGUACAACUAUUUUGAAAGAUCUGAAAAUGCAGAGUGUGAAAAAGGCAUCUACAAGCUCUCUAGAUAUCUCUUCAGCUCUUUGGUUAAAGACCCAUGGCUUGGUUGCUAGGCGACUCACCAUCAUGGAUGCCUUGGCUCCUACAGCUGUCCCUCAUGGUACCAAAUACAUCCCAGUUCUGGACAAGCAUGUAGUUUCUAAAGUAUUUGAUGAGAUAUUACCGUUGGCCCAUGUUAGCAAUGACAAGAAGGAGAUCACACUAAUUAAUCCUCAGGCAGUGAAUCUUGUUGCCUAUAAAGAGAAGCUGGAACAAGCAAUUAAAUCCUACAAAAGGCGCCUGAACCUAGUUAUUUGGAGAGCACUAUCUCAGGAGGAAAGAGACAAAUUUAAAGAGGAUGGUCCAGUCCAAUAUAUGCAGCAUAAAGAAGCUUUGCUGGAGGCUUUAGAGAAUUUGGGAUGGCCAAUUUCCUAUGAAGAUGUAAAAUUGCUAGAAGAUGAGAUACUGGCAGCAUUAACAUAUAUGCAACAAGCCUCUGAUCUUCAGGAAGCUGUCAAAAAGGAAACUGAGAAAAGCUCAGAAUCGCACAUAAGCAACAAUAAAAAGAGACAUGAAGAAGCAACUAUGAAGUCAAAGUCUAAGACAGGACAAAAAUGGCAAAUAUUUGUGACUCACAAAAGCCAAAAGGUAAUUGCAAGAUCAAACGUCACAGGAUUUUAUUAUCCAGGAACUGUGAUAAAGAAUGUCAGUUCUACCUGUGCACUUGUUGACUUCAGCAAUGGGGAGAGCUGGGAUGUACCUGUGAAGUUCACUAUACCUGUGGGAGGUGCUAUGCCAUGCCCACAUCUGCAGGUUGGAGACUAUGUGUUUGCCAGAACUGGGAUACAGGCAAGAAAUGAGUAUUAUGUACCUGCCAUUGUCAUUGCAACACCAGAGAGGGUGGAAACAGGUAACAAACUCUACACAGUACUGAUGUUCAACAACAGGAAGGAACACUGUGUAAGAAGUGAGCUUAUUAAAAUCAGCCAAACAAAGUAUGCCUAUUCCUGUCAGUACAUAAGAACGGUGCAGAUGGUGGAUUAUGAGAUCCUGGACAGUGAGACCACAAAGCCCUAUCCUCGUUCACCUCUGGAAGAUGAAGGAGGAGAAGAAGCAAAGGAAAGUACUGUUGAAGAAAAGAGGGGGAAAAAGAAAAAGAAGAGGAGAGCAGUAGACAAAAGACAUCCCAGGGAGAAGAUGUCAGACUUUGAUGAUCUUAUAUUUGUCUCCAGAAGUGAAGUAAAACAGAGAGGAAGAAAUUCACAGUCUAGUAAUAAAGAAGAAUUUGGAGCAUCUUCAUUCUCCGUUUCAUCACCCUGGUGUUCAUCGAGGUGUCAAACUCUGCAGUCGCCAAGAGCUUCGACACCCAGCUCACUGAAGUCUCGCUGUUGCUUGUGCAGUCCAUCUGCAGAAAAUUCUCCAGAGCCUGGUAAAAGCAACAUCCACCAGAUUAUCAGGGUCAACAUGGAGCAGUGAGGAUUGGCAAGCCAGCCUCAGCACCACUGCACAGAGCUCAGGAAGCCACAUUAAGGAUGUAGGAAGGUCACAUCUGAUUUAUGGCAAAGCUGGUAGAUACACUCUCCAGGCCAGUGUGGAGACAGCACCUGUAGCUGCUUGUGGUGCUUAUUACCAAAUCUCAAGGAGCAACUCAGAGAAGGAGAAGGUGUCACAUUAUUUUCAGAUGAAUGUGUGUCCCCUGCUGUAGGAGAACUAAAAAUACCGUACUAAAUACCCUGCAUCUCUUGAUUUUUUGGCUGUGCUUCUAUAUACAAACACACUGAAAAUCUCAAACCCCACUCUUUGCUCCACAUUUUUAACAGCCGUUAAUACAAAAUGAGAAUAACCUGGUGCCAUCAUUUAGGAGAGAGUAUAAAAAAAUUGUAUUUCUGUGGUCAAUGGAGGCAAACAGAGUCUUUGAGGAUAUGUUUAUCUCUUUUCCUUCAGGCAUAUUUCAGCCGGCUACUCUAGGUAGCUAGUUCAGGUGUACAGUUGGCCAGGAAAGUCGUAUACACUGUCUGUGAAGAUAUUUCCCAGAAGAACAUUGACCUAUCAGUUUUGGGGAAAUUCUGAGGUUUUGAGAUCUGUUUCUGUCACAGUUUGGAGUACACACAGACACACACACACACACAAAAUCCCCCAACAAAAUAGAACCCAAAACCCCAGAGUUUUUUAUUUAGUAAAGGAGAAUUAUAGUUUGUGUAGCCAAAAUGACCUUGAAGCCAAGAUACUUCAGCGGAGAUACGAGAGUGUUGAAAUUUCUGCAUGGCCUGACUCAGGGAAGACUCAAACCUGGGAAAAACUGUAAUUCUGAAAUGGUCUAUCCUGAAGUUCCAGUUUGCAUACUUCAUGUUACCUUCUGUUCUGCAGGUCAGGCUCCUCACUCCAUCAUAUCUUGGAGUAUUCCCUUGGAGAAUAGAGCUGAUACAGAGAUGGAGUCCUUGGUUUUAGGGAGUCACUAAGGAUUUUUUUACACAAUAGAAAAAUUGGAAGUGAUAUCACUAAUAUAACUAUACCUAGGACAGGACAGCUGGAAAGAAAUAUUUCUACUGUGGAUAAGAAUAUUUUUGUUUUCUGAAGGAAAUGGCACUACCAAUAGGUGGAAAAGCACUGUGCAUGGCUGUAGAAAAAAUUUCUAAAUGAAAAGUUUAGAUAUCUAUUUUAUUCUCAAGAAUGACUUUCAAUCACACAGAUUUUAGAAUUUACCUGCUCACAUUUUUUGCAGAAGAUGUGUCUCAAGCAGACUUAAUUCAGCAUAGACAUGAUCAUCUCACCUAUGUCAUCUGUGAUUACUGUGUAUUUGAGGCUGAGCAUGUGUAAUUCCAAGUACAUGAACAAAAUGGAGUGUGGGCCAAUUUUGUAUGUACAUACUGUUAAGUGCAGAUGGAUUGUAUGCCAACCCAUUAUGAUAAAGACUAGGAUCCCUUUGAAAAAAAUGGCUCAAGAAACUUAGUAUUCCACUGCAUGCAAUACAUAUUUGUGAGAAAUACAAAGAGAAAUGUUAACCAAGAGCAGGAUUAAAACUGGCAGCACAGGUA